rnacentral:tRNA from 1 species
AUUUAAAUAGCUUAUAAAGAGCAUAAUAUUGAAGAUAUUAAGGAGAUUAAUAAAUCUUUAGAUA